GCCCCGGUGGCACAAUCGGUUAGCGCGCCGUACUUAUAAUGCGGAGGUUGUGAGUUCGAACCUCACCCGGGGCA
rnacentral:tRNA from 4 species